rnacentral:rRNA from 1 species
UACGGAGGGUGCAAGCGUUAUCCGGAUUCACUGGGUUUAAAGGGUGCGUAGGCGGCCUGAGCAGCCAGUGGUGAAAGCUUCCCGCUUAACGGGAAAACUGCCAUUGAAACUUUCAGGCUUGAAUGAAGUUGUAAGUGAGUGGAAUACAUUCGAAUGUGAGCGGUGAAAUGACUUAGAUAUGAUGUAGAACACCGAUUGCGAAGGCAUCUCACUAGCUUUUAUUGACGGACUGAGGCACGAAAGCGUGGGGAGCGAACAGG